GAUGAACGCUGGCGGCGUGCCUAAUACAUGCAAGUCGAGCGAAGCGGGGACGGGUGCGUAACACGUGGAUAACCUCCUAUAAGACUGGGAUAACUUCGGGAAACCGGAGCUAAAACGGAUACUUAUAGAUUGAUACGCGUUGCAUUAGCUAGUUGGUAAGGUAACGGCUUAACAAGGCAACGAUGCAUAGCCGACCUAAGAGGGUGAUCGGCCACACUGGAACGUAGACACGGUCCAGACUCCUACGUGCGGCAGAAGUAGGGAAUCUUCCGCAAUGGGCGAAAGCCUGACGGAGCAACGCCGCGUGAGUGAUGAAGGUCUUCGGAUCGUAAAACUCUGUUAUUAGGGAAGCGGUACCUAAUCAGAAAGCCACGGCUAACUACGUGCCAGCAGCCGCGGUAAUUC
rnacentral:rRNA from 1 species